GGAGGGUCUUAGCUCAGUGGAAGAGCAUCUGCUUUGAAUGCAGAAGGUCCUGGGUUCAAUCCCCAGCAUCUCUA